GAUGAACGCUGGCGGCGUGCCUAAUACAUGCAAGUCGAGCGAAUGGAUUAAGAGCUUGCUCUUAUGAAGUAGCGGCGGACGGGUGAGUAACACGUGGGUAACCUGCCCAUAAGACUGGGAUAACUCCGGGAAACCGGGGCUAAUACCGGAUAACAUUUUGAACCGCAUGGUUCGAAAUUGAAAGGCGGCUUCGGCUGUCACUUAUGGAUGGACCCGCGUCGCAUUAGCUAGUGGGUGAGGUAACGGCUCACCAAGGCAACGAUGCGUAGCCGACCUGAGAGGGUGAUCGGCCACACUGGGACUGAGACACGGCCCAGACUCCUACGGGAGGCAGCAGUAGGGAAUCUUCCGCAAUGGACGAAAGUCUGACGGAGCAACGCCGCGUGAGUGAUGAAGGCUUUCGGGUCGUAAAACUCUGUUGUUAGGGAAGAACAAGUGCUAGUUGAAUAAGCUGGCACCUUGACGGUACCUAACCAGAAAGCCACGGCUAACUACGUGCCAGCAGCCGCGGUAA
rnacentral:rRNA from 1 species